GCGUCCGUAGCUCAGCUGGAUAGAGCAACGGCCUUCUAAGCCGUGGGUCGCAGGUUCGAAUCCUGCCGGACGCGCCA
rnacentral:tRNA from 32 species